rnacentral:rRNA from 1 species
AAUACAUAAAGUAAUUCCUGCCCAGUGACAAAAUUCAACGGCCGCGGUAUCCUAACCGUGCAAAGGUAGCAUAAUAAUUUGCCUAUUAAUUGUAGGCUAGAAUGAACGGAUGAACGAAAUAAAAACUGUCUCAACUAGUAAACUAAAAAUUAUUCUCUAUAUGAAGAAAAAUAGAUAAAUUCGAAGGACAAGAAGACCCUAUAGAGCUUUAUUUAAAAUAUAAAAUUAAACUAUAUAAAAAAUUCGGUUGGGGCGACCCCGGGAUCACUAAUCACCCACAUAAGUAAAGAUACAUAAAUCAAUUAAUUGACCCUACUAAGAUCAAAAAAUUAAGUUACCUUAGGGAUAACAGGCUAAUCCCAUUCAAGAGUCCAUAUCAACAAUGGGGUUUGGCACCUCGAUGUUGGCUUAGGGUAUCAAUAUAGCGCAAAAGCUAUAUAUAGAUGGUUUGUUCAACCAUAACUC